UGGGGAAUAUUGGACAAUGGGCGCAAGCCUGAUCCAGCAAUGCCGCGUGUGUGAAGAAGGCCUUCGGGUUGUAAAGCACUUUUAUCAGGAGCGAAACGCUGUCGGCUAAUACCCGGCGGAACUGACGGUACCUGAGGAAUAAGCACCGGCUAACUUCGUGCCAGCAGCCGCGGUAAUACGAAGGGUGCAAGCGUUAAUCGGAAUUACUGGGCGUAAAAGCGUGCGUAGGCGGUUUCUUAAGUCUGCUGUGAAAUCCCCGGGCUCAACCUGGGAAUGGCAGUGGAUACUGGGAGGCUAGAGUGUGUCAGAGGGUGGUGGAAUUCCCGGUGUAGCGGUGAAAUGCGUAGAGAUCGGGAGGAACAUCAGUGGCGAAGGCGGCCACCUGGGACAACACUGACGCUGAGGCACGAAAAGCGUGGGGAGCAAACAGGAUUAGAUACCCUGGUAGUCCACGCCCUAAAACGAUGCGAACUGGAUGUUGGUCUCAACUCGGAGAUCAGUGUCGAAGCUAACGCGUUAAGUUCGCCGCCUGGGGAGUACGGUCGCAAGACUGAAACUC
rnacentral:rRNA from 1 species